CGUCUGUUCUGUUCUUCUCUCACCCACUUUCCCGUCACUUUCUCGGUUCAUUUUCUCGAGAAAAUUAAAAAGGAAAGAAGACGAAGACCAAGUCUGAAAUCAAAGCCAAAUUCUCUCGAUUAACAACAAAUAGUAUUUCUUUGGAUCUAUCGCCGAUGGAUCUCAUACCUCAGCAGCUUAAGGCCGUAACUCUCACACACGUCCGGUAUCGUCCCGGAGAUCAGCUCGGACAUUUCCUCGCCUGGAUCUCUCUCGUCCCUGUAUUCAUCAGCCUCGGCGGAUUCGUUUCUCAUUUCCUAUUCCGGCGUGAGCUUCAAGGGAUCUUCUUCGGUAUAGGUCUCGUGAUCUCGCAAUUCAUCAACGAGUUUAUUAAGACAUCGGUAGAACAAGCUCGUCCCGAGACAUGUACCUUGCUCGAAGCUUGCGAUUCACAUGGAUGGCCAUCAAGCCACUCGCAGUUCAUGUUCUUCUUUGCUACGUAUUUCAGUUUGAUGGGAUGUAAAGGAAUUGGGUUCUGGUUUGGGUUAAGAAGCAGAUGGAUUAUGAAUCUUCUCCAUUGGUCUCUAGCUGUUGUUACGAUGUAUUCUAGGGUUUAUUUAGGUUACCACACGGUGGCUCAGGUAUUCGCCGGGGCGACGCUUGGGGCUGUUGUUGGUGCGAGUUGGUUCUGGUUUGUGAAUUCUGUGUUGUAUCCAUUUUUUCCGGUGAUUGAGGAGAGUGUAUUGGGGAGAUGGCUCUACGUUAAGGAUACUUCACAUAUCCCUGAUGUGUUGAAGUUUGAAUAUGACAAUGCAAGAGCUGCUAGGAAGGAUAUGGAUUCUGCUAAGUCUGAUUAAUUUGGCUAAUUUGAUUUUGGUAAGUCAGAAAUUGCUUCAUUGAUUUGGAUCUGAUUAUGUCUUAAGGUCGAGAACCCGGGAAAGCUUUGUUUGGCGGCCUUGUUAUCCUUUAAAAAAAAAUUGCAUUUAUCAGGAAUCACAAUGAGAUGGGAGAUUCCAUUUUAUAACAUUGUUCUAAGAAUUUAUGACAUUGGUUAGAUAAGCAGUUCUCAUCUGAACAUCCCACAAAAAGGAACCUUCUUCACACUUACUAAGUGAUCUUUGUAUCUUUUUUUACCUUUUCUUUCUUUGCGUAUUCACUUCUAUAUCGAAAGAAACAGUUUCGUCAAAGAAAAAUCAAACACUUUCCAGCUUUAUUACUA